CAGGGUCAUUCUUUAUAACCCAGGCUGGCUGCGAACUCCUGUUUCUCCUGAUUAUACCUGUCAAGUGCUGGGAUUACAGGCGCCAAAAUGUAUUCUUUUGGAAAGAAGCAGCUCCAGUACAGUGGUGUUAAGUAACUUGCUCAGAGCAACAGAGCUAAGAAGCAGCAGCUCUGCAUCGGAACCAAAGGAUGCUCACUACAUGACCUCAUAACCUGCUCUUCUCCAGAAAAGUAGAUUUCACCACAGGAAGGAGGGUGGUCCACAACUGGUGCAUCCUGAGUGAAUGUGAGAGGCCUAGAGGAGAGGCCUGGAGAAGACUGGGAAGGUGCUUGGCCUCAAGAGGAGAUGCUAACCUGUAAGAUUGUGCUGAUAUGGCCAUAAACCAGCAUCUGGCGCAGGUUCAUCCUGUCACAUCAUUUUUCCUACUUGACCAUCUGCUUUUGAGGGUGGCAGCACUGGAGUCCUACUGACUGGUACAAGGCUCAGCUCUGCUGCUUCUUGGCUGUGUGACUUCAGGUAAGAUGCUUAACUUCUC